rnacentral:rRNA from 1 species
UGCAAGUCGUACGCGUUGGCCCAACUGAUUUGAAGUGCUUGCACGGAUCUGACGUUGGUUUACCAACGAGUGGCGGACGGGUGAGUAACACGUAGGUAACCUGCCCAGAAGCGGGGGACAACACUUGGAAACAGGUGCUAAUACCGCAUAACAAUUCAAAUCGCAUGAUUUGAAUUUGAAAGAUGGUUUCGGCUAUCACUUCUGGAUGGACCUGCGGCGCAUUAGCUUGUUGGUGGGGUAACGGCCUACCAAGGCAGUGAUGCGUAGCCGAGUUGAGAGACUGAUCGGCCACAAUGGGACUGAGACACGGCCCAUACUCCUACGGGAGGCAGCAGUAGGGAAUCUUCCACAAUGGGCGCAAGCCUGAUGGAGCAACACCGCGUGAGUGAAGAAGGUUUUCGGAUCGUAAAGCUCUGUUGUUGAAGAAGAACGUGCAUGAGAGUAACUGUUCAUGCAGUGACGGUAUUCAACCAGAAAGUCACGGCUAACUACGUGCCAGCAGCCGCGGUAAUACGUAGGUGGCAAGCGUUAUCCGGAUUUAUUGGGCGUAAAGAGAGUGCAGGCGGUUUCUUAAGUCUGAUGUGAAAGCCUUCGGCUCAACCGAAGAAGUGCAUCGGAAACUGGGGAACUUGAGUACAGAAGAGGGCAGUGGAACUCCAUGUGUAGCGGUGGAAUGCGUAGAUAUAUGGAAGAACACCAGUGGCGAAGGCGGCUGCCUGGUCUGUAACUGACGCUGAGACUCGAAAGCACGGGUAGCGAACAGGAUUAGAUACCCUGGUAGUCCAUGCCGUAAACGAUGAGUGCUAGGUGUUGGAGGGUUUCCGCCCUUCAGUGCCGGAGCUAACGCAUUAAGCACUCCGCCUGGGGAGUACGACCGCAAGGUUGAAACUCAAAGGAAUUGACGGGGGCCCGCACAAGCGGUGGAGCAUGUGGUUUAAUUCGAAGCUACGCGAAGAACCUUACCAGGUCUUGACAUCUUGCGCCAACCCUAGAGAUAGGGCGUUUCCUUCGGGAACGCAAUGACAGGUGGUGCAUGGUCGUCGUCAGCUCGUGUCGUGAGAUGUUGGGUUAAGUCCCGCAACGAGCGCAACCCUUGUUACUAGUUGCCAGCAUUAAGUUGAGCACUCUAGUGAGACUGCCGGUGACAAACCGGAGGAAGGUGGGGACGACGUCAGAUCAUCAUGCCCCUUAUGACCUGGGCUACACACGUGCUACAAUGGACGGUACAACGAGCAGCGAACUCGCGAGGGCAAGCAAAUCUCUUAAAACCGUUCUCAGUUCGGAUUGCAGGCUGCAACUCGCCUGCAUGAAGUCGGAAUCGCUAGUAAUCGCGGAUCAGCAUGCCGCGGUGAAUACGUUCCCGGGCCUUGUACACACCGCCCGUCACACCAUGAGAGUUUGUAACACCCAAAGUCGGUGGGGUAACCUUUGGAG